rnacentral:rRNA from 1 species
CUUAGUGACCGAUAGCGCAUAGUACUGUGAAGGAAAGGUGAAAAGGACCCCGGGAGGGGAGUGAAAAAGAACCUGAAACCCUGUGUUUACAAGCUGUGGAAGCACGUUAAGGUGCGACCGCGUACUUUUUGUAGAACGGUCCGGCGAGUUGCCGGUACUGGCAAGGUUAAGAGCUUAAGGCUCGGAGCCGAAGGGAAACCAAGUCUCAAAUGGGCGUCAAGUCAGUACAGGCAGACCCGAAACCGGGUGACCUAUCCAUGUCCAGGUUGAAGCGGAAGUAAAAUUCCGUGGAGGACCGGAUCCACAUCCGUUGAAAAGGGUGGGAAUGAGGUGUGGAUAGGGGAGAAAUUCCAAUCGAACCCGGAGAUAGCUGGUUCUCCUCGAAAUAGCUUUAGGGCUAGCCUCAUAUUAGUUUAGCGGAGGUAGAGCACUGAAUUCCUAAGGGGGCGUCAAAGCUUACCAAGGGAUAUCAAACUCCGAAUGCCGCAUAAAUGAUGUAUGGGAGUCAGACUGCACGAGAUAAGUUGGGUAGUCAAAAGGGAAAGAGCCCAGACCUACAGCUAAGGUCCCAAAGUGUGUGUUAAGUGGAAAAGGAUGUGGGAUUUCAAAGACAACUAGGAUGUUGGCUCAGAAGCAGCCACACAUUCAAAGAGUGCGUAAUAGCUCACUAGUCGAGAGGUCCUGCGCCGAAAAUGUCCGGGGCUGAAACACAACACCGAAGCUUAGGAAUGUAUGUAAGUACAUUGGUAGAGGAGCAUUCUUAGUGCGGAGAAGCGGUACCGAUAAGGAGCCGUGGAGCGUUAAGAAGAGAGAAUGCCGGAAUGAGUAGCGAGAUGGAGGUGGGAAUCCUCCAGGCCGAAUAUCCAAGGUUUCCAGAGUAAAGCUGAUCUGCUCUGGGUAAGUCGGGGCCUAAGGCGAGGCUGAGAGGCGUAGUCGAUGGACAACAGGUUGAAAUUCCUGUACCAUGUAUCAUCAGAACUGUGGGGACACAGAAGGACAACACAUCCCGGGAAUGGGAAUACCGGGGCAAGCGAGGUAGGAGUACGGUUGGCAAAUCCGCCGUGCAAUCCGAAGACGUGACGCGCAGCGAACUAAAGUAGCGAAGUGUGUGAUUCCGGCUGUCAAGAAAAGCCGCUAUUGUGUGAUACAUGCCCGUACCGUAAACCGACACAGGUAGAUGAGGAGAGAAUCCUAAGGCCGGCGGGAGAAGCAUUGUUAAGGAACUCGGCAAAAUGACCCCGUAACUUCGGGAGAAGGGGUGCCACAGAGAUGUGGCCGCAGAGAAUAGGCUCAAGCAACUGUUUAGCAAAAACACAGGUCUAUGCAAAACCGUAAGGUGAGGUAUAUGGGCUGACGCCUGCCCGGUGCUGGAAGGUUAAGAGGAGAGGUUAGCGCAAGCGAAGCUUUGAAUUUAAGCCCCAGUAAACGGCGGCCGUAACUAUAACGGUCCUAAGGUAGCGAAAUUCCUUGUCGGGUAAGUUCCGACCCGCACGAAAGGCGUAAUGAUUUGAGCGCUGUCUCAACAAUGCACCCGGUGAAAUUGAAAUACCAGUGAAGAUGCUGGUUACCUGCGCCAGGACGGAAAGACCCCAUGGAGCUUUACUCCAGUUUGAUACUGGGAUUCGGUAUUGCAUGUACAGGAUAGGUGGGAGGCUUUGAAACAUGGACGCCAGUCUGUGUGGAGCCAAUGUUGGGAUACCACCCUUGCGAUAUUGGGUUUCUAACCUGCGCCCGUGACCCGGGCGGGGGACAAUGUCAGGCGGGGAGUUUGACUGGGGCGGUCGCCUCCGAAAGGGUAUCGGAGGCGCUCAAAGGUUCCCUCAGGAUGGUUGGAAACCAUCCAAAGAGUGCAAAGGCAUAAGGGAGCUUGACUGCGACACCGACGGGUGGAGCAGGUACGAAAGUAGGACUUAGUGAUCCGGUGGUAUGAAAGUGGGAUUGCCAUCGCUCAACGGAUAAAAGCUACCCUGGGGAUAACAGGCUUAUCACUCCCAAGAGUUCACAUCGACGGAGUGGUUUGGCACCUCGAUGUCGGCUCAUCGCAUCCUGGGGCUGUAGCAGGUCCCAAGGGUUGGGCUGUUCGCCCAUUAAAGCGGUACGCGAGCUGGGUUCAGAACGUCGUGAGACAGUUCGGUCCCUAUC